CUUCCGGAGCUAACGCGUUAAGUAGACCGCCUGGGGAGUACGGCCGCAAGGUUAAAACUCAAAUGAAUUGACGGGGGCCCGCACAAGCGGUGGAGCAUGUGGUUUAAUUCGAUGCAACGCGAAGAACCUUACCUGGUCUUGACAUCCACGGAAGUUUUCAGAGAUGAGAAUGUGCCUUCGGGAACCGUGAGACAGGUGCUGCAUGGCUGUCGUCAGCUCGUGUUGUGAAAUGUUGGGUUAAGUCCCGCAACGAGCGCAACCCUUAUCCUUUGUUGCCAGCGGUUAGRCCGGGAACUCAAAGGAGACUGCCAGUGAUAAACUGGAGGAAGGUGGGGAUGACGUCAAGUCAUCAUGGCCCUUACGACCAGGGCUACACACGUGCUACAAUGGCGCAUACAAAGAGAAGCGACCUCGCGAGAGCAAGCGGACCUCAU
rnacentral:rRNA from 1 species